rnacentral:rRNA from 1 species
UGGGGAAUUUUGGACAAUGGGCGAAAGCCUGAUCCAGCAAUGCCGCGUGUGUGAAGAAGGCCUUCGGGUUGUAAAGCACUUUUGUCCGGAAAGAAAUCCUUGGCUCUAAUACAGUCGGGGGAUGACGGUACCGGAAGAAUAAGCACCGGCUAACUACGUGCCAGCAGCCGCGGUAAUACGUAGGGUGCAAGCGUUAAUCGGAAUUACUGGGCGUAAAGCGUGCGCAGGCGGUUUGCUAAGACCGAUGUGAAAUCCCCGGGCUCAACCUGGGAACUGCAUUGGUGACUGGCAGGCUAGAGUAUGGCAGAGGGGGGUAGAAUUCCACGUGUAGCAGUGAAAUGCGUAGAGAUGUGGAGGAAUACCGAUGGCGAAGGCAGCCCCCUGGGCCAAUACUGACGCUCAUGCACGAAAGCGUGGGGGAGCAAACAGGAUUAGAUACCCUGGUAGUCCACGCCCUAAACGAUGUCAACUAGUUGUUGGGGAUUCAUUUCCUUAGUAACGUAGCUAACGCGUGAAGUUGACCGCCUGGGGAGUACGGUCGCAAGAUUAAAACUUAAAGGAAUUGACGGGGUCAUAGCUG